rnacentral:rRNA from 1 species
UACGAAGGGGGCUAGCGUUGCUCGGAAUGACUGGGCGUAAAGGGCGCGUAGGCGGCUUGUACAGUCAGGUGUGAAAUUCCCGGGCUCAACCUGGGGGCUGCACUUGAUACGUAGGAACUUGAGUGGGGAAGAGGGUCGUGGAAUUCCAAGUGUAGAGGUGAAAUUCGUAGAUAUUGGGAAGAACACCGGUGGCGAAGGCGGCGACCUGGUCCUUGACUGACGCUGAGGCGCGAAAGCGUGGGGAGCAAACAGG